AGCGAACGCUGGCGGCAGGCCUAACACAUGCAAGUCGAACGAACCCUUCGGGGUUAGUGGCGGACGGGUGAGUAACACGUGGGAACGUGCCUUUAGGUUCGGAAUAACUCAGGGAAACUUGUGCUAAUACCGAAUGUGCCCUUCGGGGGAAAGUUUUAUCGCCUUUAGAGCGGCCCGCGUCUGAUUAGCCAGUUGGUGAGGUAAUGGCUCACCAAGGCUAGGAUAAGUAGCUGGUCUGAGAGGAUGACCAGCCACAUUGGGACUGAGACACGGCCCAAACUCCUACGGGAGGCAGCAGUGGGGAAUCUUGCGCAAUGGGCGAAAGCCUGACGCAGCCAUGCCGCGUGGAUGAUGAAGGUCUUAGGAUUGUAAAAUCCUUUCACCGGUGAAGAUAAUGACUGUAGCCGGAGAAGAAGCCCCGGCUAACUUCGUGCCAGCAGCCGCCGUAACAC
rnacentral:rRNA from 1 species